rnacentral:sRNA from 1 species
UAGUUCCAGCAACAACA